rnacentral:rRNA from 1 species
UACGGAGGGUGCGAGCGUUGUCCGGAAUCAUUGGGCGUAAAGGGCGCGCAGGCGGUCCUUUAAGUCUGAUGUGAAAGCCCACGGCUCAACCGUGGAGGGUCAUUGGAAACUGGGGGACUUGAGUACAGAAGAGAAGAGUGGAAUUCCACGUGUAGCGGUGAAAUGCGUAGAGAUGUGGAGGAACACCAGUGGCGAAGGCGACCCGUUUGGUCUGUAACU